rnacentral:rRNA from 1 species
UACGGAGAACUCAAGCGUUACCCGGAAUCACUGGGCGUAAAGCGUUGCGUAGGCGGUUUUGCAAGUCGGAUCUUAAAGGCCGAGGCUCAACCUCGGAAAUGGGUACGAUACUACAAAACUUGAGGAUGGUAGAGGUGAGUGGAAUUGCUGGUGUAGGAGUGAAAUCCGUAGAUAUCAGCAGGAACACCAAUGGGCGAAGGCAGCUCACUGG